GAGGUAGGAGAAUUGCAAUAAGAAACUCAUCUUUUAUAUCACCCCUUUCCAAAUAGUAGUAUCCUUCAUUUUGAAUAUCCUGGGGAAGAAGUGUUGUUGAAGCGAAGGCUUUGUGAAAACCAAAACCCUCUCCGCUAGAAGACUCGCGGACCUACUCACUGUUUCCGGCGAUUACCCUAUCACGGUACGCCCAAAUUUCAGUAUCUCUAUGUUCUGCUUACACACACUCUCUCAUCUCGAUAUCCGUUUGUUUGUUUGAUUCAGAUGCAUCAGAAUAGUGGAGCCGCCGAUUUGGCUCAGCUUCAAGCCACCAUGCAAGCAAUCGAAUUCGCUUGCACUUCUAUUCAGGUCAUUUUGUCAACUAGUUUUGUCAUAUCUGAAAUCAAUUCAACUGCUAAACCAUAUUUGCCAUGUUCCGUUGCAAUCAAGAUGUAUAGGUGCUGUAACUGUUGUUGGUUUGGUAUGUACUGCUUUUAGCAGCCAUGUUUUCUCGAGUAACUUCUCUUUACCAAACCAAAUGAUCUAAAGCACAACCUAUGCGGUGAAAUUAAGUGAUG
rnacentral:lncRNA from 1 species